AACGAACGCUGGCGGCGUGCCUAACACAUGCAAGUCGAACGAGAAAGGGGCUUCGGCUCCGAGUAAAGUGGCGCACGGGUGAGUAACACGUGGGUAACCUGCCUCUAAGAUUGGGAUAACUCGUCGAAAGAUGAGCUAAUACCGAAUAAGACCACAGUUCCCGCGGGAACAGGGGUCAAAGGUAGCCUCUGCUUGCAAGCUAUCACUUAGAGAUGGGCCUGCGCACCAUUAGCUAGUUGGUAGGGUAACGGCCUACCAAGGCAAAGAUGGUUAGCUGGUCUGAGAGGAUGAUCAGCCACACUGGAACUGAGACACGGUCCAGACUCCUACGGGAGGCAGCAGUGGGGAAUAUUGCGCAAAGGGCGAAAGCUUGACGCAGCAACGCCGCGUGAGUGAUGAAGGCCUUCGGGUCGUAAAGCUCUGUCGGGAGGAACGAAUGCUCCUGAGGUUAACAGCCUCGGGAGGUGACGGUACCUUCAAAGGAAGCACCGGCUAACUCUGU
rnacentral:rRNA from 1 species